rnacentral:rRNA from 1 species
UAUGUGUGCCCAAGCAUUGAGGCAGUCAAAGUAGGCAAAUCCGCUUUGAUAAUGCUGGGAUGUGAUGGGGAGCGAAAUUUAGUAGCGAAGUAGCUGAUUUCACACUGUCAAGAAAAGUCUCUAUCGAGGUUAAAGGUACCCGUACCGCAAACCGACACAGGUGGGUGAGGAGAGUAUCCUAAGGCCAGCGAGAGAACUGUUGUUAAGGAACUCGGCAAAAUGACCCCGUAACUUAGGGAUAAGGGGUGCCACCAUCAGGUGGCCGCAGAGAAUAGGCCCAAGCGACUGUUUACCAAAAACAUAGGUUUCUGCUAAGUCGCAAGACGAUGUAUAGGAGCUGACGCCUGCCCGGUGCUGGAAGGUUAAGGGGAUCUGUUAGAGCAAUCGAAGCAGUGAACUUAAGCCCCAGUAAACGGCGGCCGUAACUAUAACGGUCCUAAGGUAGCGAAAUUCCUUGUCGGGUAAGUUCCGACCCGCACGAAAGGCGUAACGAUUUGGGCACUGUCUCAACAACAGACUCGGUGAAAUUGUAAUUCCGGUGAAGAUGCCGGAUACCUGCGACAGGACGGAAAGACCCCAUGGAGCUUUACUGUAGCUUGACAUUGGGU